UGUCUGCAGUUCUAAGGCACAUGGUUAGUAAAUUUUAACCAACUUUUAACUUUUCUUCUAAACUUGGAUUAUCACAGAAGUUGGAAACUGUAAUAAGUUCAUGAUUUGUUUUUCCGCACUUCUGUUAGUUGUAUUGAAAUUCCACUUUUCAGUUUAUAGGUAAAACUGAGAGUUUUGUAUUCUUAUGCUGUGAAUUUUAUGUAUAUCAGAUUUUCAUAGUUAACUUCUUUCUACUAAAUUAGAGUAUUUCUUUUAUUACCACGCGACAGGUCAGCGAAGCCUGAGCGGGUGCGAAGAAGGAAAGACCAAACACUUCAGCUAACAGGAAUGAGCAGAUACGCAGCCUCCUCAAGGUCAUUGGGAACCACUUUAACGUUGUUAAUACUUUAUUGACCAUAGCAACACAAAUGUUUGCUCUCUCUCUCUCUCUGGCAGAUGAGCUUGAGGAAAAUCUAUCUAUUUAUAUUAAGUUACACUCACUGUCACUGUCGUGAAAUAUGCUUCAUAUAUUUCCAGCAUAUCAACUAAUUUGAUUCAGCUAAGACAAGGCACAAGAGGAGAAGACGGCCACUGAACAAGUAUGAAUAUGCAUUAAAAGCAACUGAACAACUUUUUUGGCAAGUGAAAACUUUUAAUAUCUCUAAUACAGAAUAAAAAGAUAUACAGUAAAACCAGGGGCGGAUCUAGGGGAGCGGCAGGGGGUAUAUAUAAGGUAAAUUUUUUGUAUUAUGUACAUAUAUUAAUUUUGCAGGCAACAAUUGAUUUGACUUGGAUUGACAAUGUCCACGAGGUGGAAAAUUAGCUGAUUUUUCACCUACAACUAUUGUUAUCAAC
rnacentral:lncRNA from 1 species